rnacentral:rRNA from 1 species
UUAGGUCAAGCUACUAAGAGCGUAGAGUGGAUGCCUUGGCACCGAGAGCCGAUGAAGGACGUGAUAAGCUGCGAAAAGCUUGGGGGAGUUGCAAAUAAACUGUGAUCCCAAGAUAUCCGAAUGGGGAAACCUAACUGAGCAAACCUCAGUUACUGCAUAGCCAAUACAUAACUAUGCAGAGGGAACGAAGGGAACUGAAACAUCUAAGUACCUUCAGGAGGAGAAAGAAACAUCGAUUUCCUAAGUAGCGGCGAGCGAAAGGGAAACAGGCCAAACCAAAGUACUUGUACUUUGGGGUUGCGGACUGCGUUGUGGCAAGAUUGAGGAUAGUCGAAGCGUCUGGAAAGUCGCAUCAAAGAGGGUGAUAAUCCCGUAGACGAAAUCUGAGAGAAGCCUAGCAGGAUCCAGAGUACCACGAGACACGAGAAACCUUGUGGGAAGCCGGGGGGACCACCCCCCAAGCCUAAAUACUCCUCGGUGACCGAUAGCGCAUAGUACUGUGAAGGAAAGGUGAAAAGAACCGCGGGAGCGGAGUGAAAAAGAACCUGAAACUCUAUGUUUACAAGCAGUGGAAGCGCCAUAUGAUGCGCGACCGCGUACUUUUUGUAGAACGGUCCGGCGAGUUAUUGGCUGCGGCAAGGUUAAGUACCAGGAGGUACGAAGCCGAAGGGAAACCAAGUCUGAAUAGGGCG